CCUACGGGAGUCAGCAGUGAGGAAUAUUGGUCAAUGGACGAGAGUCUGAACCAGCCAAGUAGCGUGAAGGGUGACUGCCCUAUGGGUUGUAAACUUCUUUUAUAUGGGAAUAAAAUGUUCCACGUGUGGGAUUUUGUAUGUACCAUAUGAAUAAGGAUCGGCUAACUCCGUGCCAGCAGCCGCGGUAAUACGGAGGAUCCGAGCGUUAUCCGGAUUUAUUGGGUUUAAAGGGAGCGUAGGUGGAUUGUUAAGUCAGUUGUGAAAGUUUGCGGCUCAACCGUAAAAUUGCAGUUGAAACUGGCAGUCUUGAGUACAGUAGAGGUGGGCGGAAUUCGUGGUGUAGCGGUGAAAUGCUUAGAUAUCACGAAGAACUCCGAUUGCGAAGGCAGUUCACUGGACUGCAACUGACACUGAGACUCGAAAGUGUGGGUAUCAAACAGGAUUAGAUACCCCUGUAGUC
rnacentral:rRNA from 1 species